CACACUACUUCACUCCAAGGUCCCAGACCUCUCCACCACGAUACUAUUCUCAGGGGUCCCAGACCCUUCAACAACGAUACUAUUCUCAGGGGUCCCAGACCCUUCAACAACGAUACUAUUCUCAGGGGUCCCAGACCUUUCCACAACGAUACUAUUCUCAGGGGUCCCAGACCCUUCAACAACACUCCUUUACUCAAAGGUCCCAGACCUUUCCACAACGAUACUAUUCUCAGGGGUCCCAGACCCUUCAACAACGAUACUAUUCUCAGGGGUCCCAGACCCUUCAACAACGAUACUAUUCUCAGGGGUCCCAGACCCUUCAACAACGAUACUAUUCUCAGGGGUCCCAGACCCUUCAACAACACUCCUUUACUCAAAGGUCCCAGACCUUUCCACAACGAUACUAUUCUCAGGGGUCCCAGACCCUUCAACAACGAUACUAUUCUCAGGGGUCCCAGACCCUUCAACAA